rnacentral:rRNA from 1 species
AACGAACGCUGGCGGCAUGCCUAACACAUGCAAGUCGAACGAGACCUUCGGGUCUAGUGGCGCACGGGUGCGUAACGCGUGGGAACCUGCCCUUAGGUUCGGAAUAACUCCCCGAAGGGGGUGCUAAUACCGGAUAAUGUCUUCUGACCAAAGAUUUAUCGACUUUGGAUGGGCCCGCGUUGGAUUAGCUAGUUGGUAGGGUAAAAGCCUACCAAGGCUGCGUUCCAUAGCUGGUCUGAGAGGAUGACCAGCCACCCUGGGACUGAGACACGGCCCAGACUCCUACGGAUGGCAGCAGUGGGGAAUAUUGGACGAUGGGCGAAAGCCUGAUCCAGCCAUGCCGCGUGAGUGAUGAAGGCCUUAGGGUUGUAAAGCUCUUUUACACGGGAUGAUAAUGACAGUACCGGGCGAAUAAGCUCCGGCUAACUACGUG